AGCGAACGCUGGCGGCAGGCUUAACACAUGCAAGUCGAGCGGGCACUUUCGGGUGUCAGCGGCGGACGGGUGAGUAACGCGUGGGAACGUGCCCUCUGGUUCGGAAUAACUCAGGGAAACUUGAGCUAAUACCGGAUACGCCCUUUUGGGGAAAGGCUUGCUGCCGGAGGAUCGGCCCGCGUCUGAUUAGCUAGUUGGUGUGGUAACGGCUCACCAAGGCGACGAUCAGUAGCUGGUCUGAGAGGAUGAUCAGCCACACUGGGACUGAGACACGGCCCAGACUCCUACGGGAGGCAGCAGUGGGGAAUAUUGGACAAUGGGCGCAAGCCUGAUCCAGCCAUGCCGCGUGAGUGAUGAAGGCCUUAGGGUUGUAAAGCUCUUUUAUCCGGGACGAUAAUGACGGUACCGGAGGAAUAAGCCCCGGCUAACUUCGUG
rnacentral:rRNA from 1 species